rnacentral:rRNA from 1 species
UGGGGAAUAUUGGGCAAUGGGCGCAAGCCUGACCCAGCCACGCCGCGUGAGUGAUGAAGGCCUUCGGGUCGUAAAGCUCUGUGGGAGGGGAAGAAAGCCCCUUGGCUAAUAUCCAAGGGUUUGACGGUACCCUUUUAGCAAGCACCGGCUAACUCCGUGCCAGCAGCCGCGGUAAUACGGAGGGUGCAAACGUUGCUCGGAAUUAUUGGGCGUAAAGCGCACGUAGGCGGCACAGCAAGUUGGAUGUGAAAGCCCUCGGCUUAACCGAGGAAGUGCAUUCAAAACUACUGAGCUUGAGUACAAAAGAGGAUCGCGGAAUUCCCGGUGUAGAGGUGAAAUUCGUAGAUAUCGGGAGGAACACCAGCGGCGAAGGCGGCGAUCUGGGUUGAUACUGACGCUGAUGUGCGAAAGCGUGGGGAGCAAACAG